rnacentral:rRNA from 1 species
GUGGGGAAUUUUGGACAAUGGGCGCAAGCCUGAUCCAGCCAUGCCGCGUGCAGGAUGAAGGCCUUCGGGUUGUAAACUGCUUUUGUACGGAACGAAAAGGUGCCUUCUAAUAAAGGGCGCUCAUGACGGUACCGUAAGAAUAAGCACCGGCUAACUACGUGCCAGCAGCCGCGGUAAUACGUAGGGUGCGAGCGUUAAUCGGAAUUACUGGGCGUAAAGCGUGCGCAGGCGGUUUUGUAAGACAGAGGUGAAAGCCCCGGGCUCAACCUGGGAACUGCCUUUGUGACUGCAAGGCUCGAGUGCAGCAGAGGGGAAUGGAAUUCCGCGUGUAGCAGUGAAAUUCGUAGCUAUACGGAGGAACACCGAUGGCAAAGGCAAUCCCCUGGGCCGGCACUGACGCUC